rnacentral:lncRNA from 1 species
CUUGAGGUUAAAACCAUCCGGUCCCGGGCUCUUGUCACCGUCACAGCUCCAAAUGGCCUCUUUAAUUUCUGAUUCUGAAAAAUUUUUGAUCAGCUCCGCAUUAUUCUCUGCAGAAACUCGCCGAGCAGUGAAAUCUCCCGGUAUCAUAGGUAGGACGCGCGGCGUCUUCUUGAAGUGAUUCUCGAAGAACGUUUUGACGUUCUCCUUAAUGUUCUUUGGAUCCUCGAUCCAGUAGCCCCCAACAUCAAGCCCUGCAAUUUCAUUCUUCUUUCUUCUCCCAACAAUUGCUUUGUGAUAAAAACUAGUAUUCAGAUCGCCCUCCUUGACCCAUUUGACUUUCGCCUUUUGUUGGAGAAGACUACAUUUUUCUUUGGAUUUAAGGAAAAUCUUUGCUCGUAAUUCAUUUCUCCUGAUUGUCUCACUCUCCUCAAGACCAAAGGUGUCAUCAAAAAUGUCCAGCUCCUGAAGUUCAUCCUUAAGAUCUGUCAAUCCGUGCUCAAUGUUGCCAUAAAUCCUCAGAUUCC